UACGAAGGGUGCAAGCGUUAAUCGGAAUUACUGGGCGUAAAGCGUGCGUAGGUGGUUUGUUAAGUCUGCUGUGAAAGCCCUGGGCUCAACCUGGGAAUGGCGGUGGAUACUGACAAGCUAGAGUGCGGUAGAGGAGGGUGGAAUUCCCGGUGUAGCGGUGAAAUGCGUAGAGAUCGGGAGGAACAUCAGUGGCGAAGGCGGCCCUCUGGACCAGCACUGACGCUGAGGAGCGAAAGCCAGGGGAGCAAACGGG
rnacentral:rRNA from 1 species